UACGGGAGGCAGCAGUGGGGAAUAUUGCACAAUGGGCGCAAGCCUGAUGCAGCCAUGCCGCGUGUAUGAAGAAGGCCUUCGGGUUGUAAAGUACUUUCAGCGGGGAGGAAGGCGAUGCGGUUAAUAACCGCGUCGAUUGACGUUACCCGCAGAAGAAGCACCGGCUAACUCCGUGCCAGCAGCCGCGGUAAUACGGAGGGUGCAAGCGUUAAUCGGAAUUACUGGGCGUAAAGCGCACGCAGGCGGUCUGUUAAGUCAGAUGUGAAAUCCCCGGGCUUAACCUGGGAACUGCAUUUUGAAACUGGCAGGCUUGAGUCUUGUAGAGGGGGUAGAAUUCCAGGUGUAGCGGUGAAAUGCGUAGAGAUCUGGAGGAAUACCGGUGGCGAAGGCGGCCCCUGGGACAAAGCUGACGCUCAGGUGCGAAAGCGUGGGGAGCGAAACAGGGAUUAGGAUACC
rnacentral:rRNA from 1 species